CGGCUGAGCCCCGCCAUGGGGCUGCGGCUUCUCCUCGGGCUGCUCUGGGCCCUGGGCAGCGGCUCGGGGCUCCCCGGGCCCCGGCACGAGUCUGGCCCCCACGGAGCCGGCUGGGGCGCCAGGCGCGCAGGUGGCUCCAGGUGGCAGCGUGAGGACCUGGGACAUUAUUGGCAUGUGACGCCCCGGAUCCUGCAGGGCAACCAGACACUCAGCAUGGCUGAGACAGACCUGGAGGGCUUCCCAGCCCGGCUUCAGGUGGCCCUGGACCUGGAGGGGACGCAGCUUGUGCUGGAGUUAGAGCAAAACCGGGAGGUGGCUCCGGGUACCCGGGCACUGCUCUAUUACCUGCCCAACGGCACGCGGGUGACGCAGACCGCCGGCUCGCAGGGAAACUGCUGCUACCGGGGCCACGUCCGGGAGUAUCCAGGCUCCUGGGCCAGCGUCUGCACCUGCUCCGGACUCAGUGGCGUCCUCGUGGCCUCAGAGAACAGGAGCUAUGGCCUGGAGCCGGACCCCCAAGGGCCCCGCGGGAGGCACCUGGCCUACAGGCCCCGGGACAUGCGGCUGGGACAGAGGGAGUGUGGGCUGGGCCCCCCCAACCACACACAGCCACUGCUGGACCCGGAACCACACAGGGGGAAGCGGGAGGCAGCCCCAGAGCAGCCGUUUGUGGAGCUGGUGAUGGUGGUGGACCAUGCAGAGUUCAAGAAUUACCCCAACAUGAAACAGAUCCAGACCCGGAUGCUGGAGAUCGCCAACCAGGUGGACACGUUCUAUCGGCCCCUGGGUGUCCGCGUGGCGCUGCUGGCGGUGGAAGUGUGGAACCAAGGAGACCCCAUUGCCGUGGGGCCCAGCGCCCGGGCCACGCUGGAGCGCUUCCUGCAAUGGAGGGAGAAGGAGCUGCUGCCCCGGCUCCCGCAUGACAACGCCCAGCUGCUCACGGGGGCCCCGCUGGAGGGGGUGGCGGUGGGGAUGGCGUCCCAGGCCUCCAUGUGUUCGGCUGCGCGAUCGGGCGGGGUCAGCGUGGAUCACUCGGUCAGCGUCCUGGUCGUGGCCUCCACCGUGGCCCACCAGCUGGGCCACAACCUGGGCAUGAAGCACGACGGUGCCGGGCGCCAGUGUGACUGCGUUGGCCCCUACCAAGAGCGGAGCUGCAUCAUGGCGCCGCCCACAGGGCUGAUGCCCGGUCUGAGCUUCAGCAGCUGCAGCCAGCAGGACGUGGAGCAGAGCCUGCGCUGGGGCCAGGGCUGGUGCCUCUUCAACGUGCCCGAGCCCAAGAGCUUCGUCGUGCGCCCGCAUUGUGGGAACUGGCUGGUGGAGCAGAACGAGACGUGCGACUGCGGCCUCCGGGCGGAGUGCACUGACCCCUGCUGCAACGCCAGCAGCUGCCAGCUGGCCCCUGGAGCUGAGUGUGCCACGGGGGAUACCUGCUGCCAGGACUGCAAGCUGCGAGGGGCCGGCUCCGUGUGCCGGGAGCCCCGUGGUGAGUGCGACCUCCCUGAGUUCUGCAACGGGCUGUCCCCACGCUGCCCUCCCAACACAUACCUGCAGGAUGGGCAACCCUGCGCCGGGGGCCAGGCCCGCUGCUACGGGGGGGCCUGCACCACCUACCAGGGCCAGUGCCAGGAGCUGUGGGGCCCAGGUUCAGGGCCCGUCUCCGACGUCUGCAUGGCCUCCCUGAAUGCCAGAGGGGAUGAGCAUGGGCACUGCGGGCAGCGCCCCAAUGGCACGUACAUCCCCUGUGCCCAGCGGGACGCUGGCUGCGGGAGGCUGCAGUGCCAGAGGGGCAGUGCCCAGGGCACACUGGAGGAUGGAGUGGCACCUGGCUGCCGUGCUAUCCCCCUGCCCCUGGGUGAGGAUGUGAGCAACCUGGCCAUGGUGCUGCCGGGCACGGCCUGUGGCCCUGGGAAGGUGUGCAGCAGUGCCCGGUGCCGAGAUGUCUCCGAGCUGGGGGUGCAGGAGUGUGGGAGUAAAUGCCACGGACACGGGGUCUGCAACAACAACGGGCACUGCCACUGUGAGGCGGGCUGGGCCGCCCCCGCCUGCAACAGCCCGGGGGCCGGGGGCAGCGUGGACAGCGGCCCCGGGGGCCUGGAGCAAGGGGGCAGCUCGCUGCCCACCACCCUGUUGAUCCCAGCCGCGCUGCUCCUGGCCCUCGCUCUGGGGCUUUGCUACGCCAAGCGCGCCGGCCUGCACCAGCGCCUCUGUCAGCUCGGCAAGGGCACCAGCUGCCAGUACAGCGCCAAGCCAGGCACCCAGGUGCAAUUGCUCAGCACAGGAGUCUCGGCCGACCCGAACGGGAUCGCUCAGCUGGAGCCGCGAGGCUACAACGAGCCCCACCCUGGGCACCCGCGGCCCCUGCAGUGGCCCCAGAGCACCGAGCUGCAGAUGAUGCCCAUCAGUAAGCCCAUUUCCCACGGCUGGGCCCGGCCCGACCCGCCCUCCAAGCCGCUCCCGCCCGACCCGGUCCCUAAGGAAUCCCAGGCCUUUCUGCGGGACAGGCCGCCCCCCCCCACGCGCCCGCUGCCUGCAGACCCUGUGCUGAAAGGCACUCAGCCUCCAUGCCCUGCCAAGCUGCCCCUGCCCAGGAGGCUGCUGCCCUCUGAUCCCGCCGGGCCCCUCGGCUCCGGGCCUGAGCUGUCCUUGGUGCGCUCUGAGAACCCCCACAUCAUGGUGCUCCCCUCCAGGUGAGGGCUGGCUGCAGACACGGCUCAGGAGCGUCUCGCUCGCUGGCACCGGGCAAGGCCAGCUCCCCCGCCCCCCACUGGGCAUCUCCAGUACACCUAGCGUGAGACAGAUACUGCUGCCUGCGUGUGGGCUGCCCAGGCUCAGGAACCUCCCCUCCCUCACUGCCUGUUGGACGCGGGGUUCCUGGUCCCCCUGUUGCUGGCAUGGCCCCCCAUGCCCCCUCCGUUGCUGACUCUGGCAUCUCUCUUUCUGGGCUCCACCCCCUCCCCCACAGAGGCGCCCUGCCCGCCAGCUCAGGGAUGCUGCAGAGCCGGAUCGGAACUUGCUGAAGGCUUGGCCUGUUACCCAGGAACAGCAUCCACAGCAGAGUGUAUUUGCUCAAAGCCCCGCUCCUGCCCACGAGCUGCCAGGGUGCCAUCCCCUCGGCUGGACCUGCCAAUCCCCUGCCCUGGGAACUGGGCCCCGAGAGGCCUUGGGUGCUGAGGGCUCCGAACACUGGGUGUGGCUGGGCGCACCCCAGGGGAGCGGCUGCGUCUGGGCAGGGAGCACGAGUGAGAGUGGGUGCGUGCCGGAGCUUGUCCUGGGAGAUUUGCUGGGACGCUGCCUGGCUGGGGUGGGAGGGACUCCCUGGUGGGGGGCUCCCCCUUCGUCUAGGGCGCUGGCUGCUUCUGAAUCCGCUUUAGAUCAUCUGCAAAGUGUCUAAUAAAGGGGAGCUGCCUGAGUUAACUCCUUCCA